rnacentral:tRNA from 1 species
CAGGGUGUAGCUCAGUUUGGGCAGAGCGCGCGCCUCGGAUGCGCGAGGGCGUUGGUUCGAAUCCAACCACCCUGA